rnacentral:tRNA from 1 species
GCCUUGGUGGCGUAAUGGUCAGCACACUCGGCGCGUUUUCGAGACGUCCGAGGUUCGAGUCCCGGCGAGGGCA